rnacentral:lncRNA from 12 species
UUUCAGGGUUUUCUCCAUUAGGAUACCUAGGAAAAGUAACUUUUUUUGGAAGGACAAGUUGUCCUGAGUUUCUGCUCUCAGAAGACUUCUAGUGUAAAGCGACAAGAGCAGAUAAAAAUGGAGCAAAAGAAACGUCACGGAUGCCACCCUGGACUGAAGAAGAAGCCAGCACUUUACAACAUAUUAUCUUCAGCAGCAGCAGCUGCAUCGGUCAUAAACUGGUCAUGCUGCAACACCUCCCACUCCAAAGAAAGAGGCAGAUCCGGAUUCAGCUUUGUCCCUGGAUCCAGCUGUGUGUCCCCUACACUAGUGCCAAGACUUUUCCUCAAUAGACCUAAGGAGUCUGAUGUGCCAGUGCAAGCAGUGCAGAUGGUGCUGGGCACAGCUUUGCUUUAAGGCAGUGACUGACCCGCACCAAGAGGCUGCAGCCUCAGUGACAGAGCUCGAGGUUUGGUCCUCAGUCUUCAAAUGGACAGGACAUUCACUGUCCCUCCAGGAUGGACAUUUCUUCCACCUUUUCAUUUCAUUUCAAG